rnacentral:rRNA from 1 species
AUUGAACGCUGGCGGCAGGCCUAACACAUGCAAGUCGAGCGGCAGCGGGAAAGUAGCUCGCUACUUUUGCCGGCGAGCGGCGGACGGGUGAGUAAUGCCUGGGAAAUUGCCCAGUCGAGGGGGAUAACAGUUGGAAACGACUGCUAAUACCGCAUACGCCCUACGGGGGAAAGCAGGGGACCUUCGGGCCUUGCGCGAUUGGAUAUGCCCAGGUGGGAUUAGCUAGUUGGUGAGGUAAUGGCUCACCAAGGCGACGAUCCCUAGCUGGUCUGAGAGGAUGAUCAGUCACACUGGAACUGAGACACGGUCCAGACUCCUACGGGAGGCAGCAGUGGGGAAUAUUGCACAAUGGGGGAAACCCUGAUGCAGCCAUGCCGCGUGUGUGAAGAAGGCCUUCGGGUUGUAAAGCACUUUCAGUGAGGAGGAAAGGUUGAUGCCUAAUACGUAUCAACUGUGACGUUACUCGCAGAAGAAGCACCGGCUAACUCCGUGCCAGCCGCCGCGGUAAUAC